GAAGACCCUCUGUACUUGAGGUCUUCUGAAGUGACCUGGCUUAGCACAUCCAAUAUCUACCACCAGCUGUGGUUGAUACCUGAUACUUCUGAGAGAGUCAAUUCAUUGUCUUGAAGACUGUGUACCUUCCUAAGUACUGAAGUGAUUUGCUGGUGAACCUGAACUGGAAGCAGAAACCAUUGCUCCAGCUGGAACUAAGUGGCCUCAAGAGAAGCAACUGAAUGACAGAGGGACCCAGCUUUCAUGCGCUGAAGGAGAUGAUCCUAGCACAAUGCAGAGCUUCCCACGUGGACAGUGUAAGCUUGCUCCAGGAUCCUUUCUAUUUGCAAAGAAAAUUAUGCAGUCCAUGAUGAAAACCUUGAGGCUGUACCUGCAUUGGCAACAGUAGCCAAGGCAUCCAGAUGGAAUCUAAUUUGGGUUUAGCUGGCUGUACACGUACUUCUAGCUUCGAGGGACUUGUCUACAGUGUUUAGGACGAAUGCUUAUUAUGCUUAUCAGGAUCCUUAGGCAUCAGCUCAACAAGAUACUGAAGUUUGUGCUUCAUUCUUAGCAUAACAGCUUCCGCAAUAACUACUUGCAGCUUUGGCAUUGUCUCAAGAAUGGUGCCUUCUUGAGUAGAGAUUUGCCAGACUCAUUCAGAAAUCAUGGGUUUGCACUCAUCUGCCAUUCAAGAUGUGGACUGAACCAUCAAGAUAUAUUUUUAAAGGGAUGGAGUGGCUGGAACAACCAGAUCAUAAUAGCAGUAAUAAAAAAAAAAAAUCAAAACAACUCCCCAAUGGCAGUUCAAGAAACAAAGGGCUUGUAGAUACAGGCAUACUUUAGAUGCUGCUGCUGAUGGCACACAAAACAUGUUCUGUGGAAGUAUUCAAAAUAUAUCUCCUACUGAUGCUGCAAACAUAGGCACAAUCAGGGCAUCUGGGCAGUUCCAGAGGUUAUUUCUAUCAGCAUGAACUCUGAUUCCUCUGUCUUCCUCCUCCUCCAUCUCAUCCAAAAUGAAACAAAGCCUCCUGUGGAAGUAUGUGCCAAUGAUCAAAGGCAAGCUCCAUCGUAAGAAUUCCAUUUAGAGCUAAUGAGAAGGUAAUUGUGGUUUAAAUACGAGCUGACUGCUAUCUCUGCAUAUUUACUGGAGGCAGUGACAAUUGCUGAGCUACAGCCUGUGACUUACCAGCUGGACCCAGGACUAGCCCACGUAGCACAAUUCUUGUAGUUUAUUCUGUUCAGACUUAAGCUAAUCAGAACAGGGUGCUUUUCCAGUGGUCUGGAUGUCUUAUAUGAUUCCCAACAACAAGAAGAACAAAGAACUAGAACAAGAAGACAAAAACUAGUGGAAACUACCCCUUACAAAAUGCUUCAGGCCUCCUGGCACUUGUGAAAUUGAAAUUCAGUUGUCAGAGCACUGAAGAACUGGAGAGUUAGGGCUGUUUUUCUCUUGUUUUCCCUUUGAUACAGCUCUUCCUUUAAUGGCUGGUUGCCAUCAGCUUGCUGCAUGCUGAAGCUAGUUGAGCAGCCUGGAAAUACUUGUGAGCUUUAGGGUCAUUCUGCCCAUCUACUGUAAUGGAAACUGUGGGAUUUCUUUCAACUAACCCUCGCAGAUUUGACGGAGAAACUUCCCAGCUUUAAGAAUAUCAGUGGUGAGGAAUCCACUGCAGUUGAUCAGAACCCACUGAUAAAUUCAUUAUCUUAUCCCUUUGUCUAGCAAGGAAAACUUCUCUAGUAUCAUGUCUGUCUUGCAUAAACAGUGUUAUUUAUUAUUGUUUCAUAAAUUACUUGUUAUUAUCAGCUGCUGACUUUGGGGAUGUAAUAAUGUCCAAGAGUUCUGCAGCAGUUGUUUGCCAGAGCUUCAUUCAUGAAUUACUAGUCCACUCCACAACAGGACUCAGCAUUGCAAGUAGGUGUAUCUGGAGAACUCAGGAGCAGAAGAGAUGUGCAGAGGGAAUGUUCAAGUUUGUACUCUCACUGAAAGCCUUCCUUCAGAUUCUAAAAUGGGUCCUGAGUUCCUUGCUGGAAACGAAGAGAAGCAAGCAGUGAGAGGGAUCCCAAGUCCCUUCGUGAGAAAGAGAGGAAAUAGGGUAAGUUAGGUCCUGCAUGUCUCAUGCAGAGGGGCUCCAAGGCCUUAUGAUCCCUUAACACCAUCUGUGUUAUGCUCUAAGACCUAUAACUCCAGAUGUUUCCUCCCCUGGUCCUGGAGCACGGCACGUUACUUGCAGCAUAACUCAGUGAUGUGCCCACCAGCAGCACUCCAUGCCCAAGCCCAUGGCACUCACUGCCCAUGCACCUCUUGCUUAUGGAGAAGGAGCCCAAUGUGGGCCGGGCAGGAGGAGAUGAAGCUUCACUAAAAAGGCACAACUUCUAGGGAGGUAAUGAAUGAGGGAGAGAUGGGAUUCCUGGCUGUGGGUCCAACCAGGACCUUUCUCCUGUCGCACCAUUCCGUCUGCUCUGUGAUGAAGAUACUUUGUGAAACAGGACAAAUGACUGUUUUUUCUUCCUAGAUGUCUUCCCCAUCUGGAGUUAGACCUCUUUUAUGCUCAUGUGGAGUCCUGCCUAACAUUUACGGGACAGCCUGUGUCCACCUCAGCUACUGUGCAGUCUGAUGAUUUUCAUAGCCUUGGCUCCAGCACAAAUCAAUCUCCUCCCCUCUCAGGCACUGCUCAAUGUGAAACAUUUCUCUAUUGGAAAAAAGCCUUUCCUGUUCUCUGUGCUGUUUUUCUACUUCAUUACACACAGACCAUCGAUUAAGCAACAGUGGCACUCAGGAAAAGGCAAAGUGGCUUGGAAGUAAUUGAUCUCUAUUCAGUCUUGGUGGAAGAAGUCAUAAUCUAUAGUGGUGAUGUGUCUGUCCUCCCAUGCAUUUCUUUUUGCAAGGAAACACAAAACUGCUCAAAAUUUUAGGACUUGUGCAUUUCAGAACAUAUUUGAAAACAGUUCUUUGAUUAAAAAUAAUGAAAUUAUUGUGAAGAUUUUCAUAUUCUGUAACUUAAAACAUCAAAUUACAUUUCUGAGAGAGAGUCCUGUUUCUUCAAGCAGAACCAG